UACGUAGGGAGCAAGCGUUGUCCGGAUUUAUUGGGCGUAAAGAGCUCGUAGGCGGCUUAGCAAGUCAGGUGUGAAACCUCCAGCUUAACCUGGAGACGCCACUUGAUACUGCUAUGGCUUGAGUUUGGUAGGGGAAGACGGAAUUCCUGGGUGUAGCGGUGAAAUGCGCAGGAUAAUCAGAGAGGAACACCGAUGGCGAAGGCAGUCUCUGGGCCAAACUGACGCUG
rnacentral:rRNA from 1 species